rnacentral:rRNA from 1 species
UAACAAGGAUUCCCCUAGUAACGGCGAGUGAAGCGGGAAGAGCUCAAAUUUGUAAUCUGGCGGUCUCAGGCCGUCCGAGUUGUAGUCUGGAGAAGUGCUUUCCGUGCCGGACCGUGUACAAGUCCCUUGGAACAGGGCGUCAUAGAGGGUGAGAAUCCCGUCUCUGACACGGACUACCGGUGCUCUGUGAUGCGCUCUCGAAGAGUCGAGUUGUUUGGGAAUGCAGCUCAAAAUGGGUGGUAAAUUCCAUCUAAAGCUAAAUAUUGGCGAAAGACCGAUAGCGAACAAGUACCGUGAGGGAAAGAUGAAAAGCACUUUGGAAAGAGAGUUAAACAGUACGUGAAAUUGUUGAAAGGGAAACGCUUGAAGUCAGUCGCGUCUCGUGAGACUCAGCCGGGCCUUGCCCGGUGCACUUCUCGCUGUGACGGGCCAGCAUCGAUUUCGAUCGUCGGAGAAAGGCUUUGGGAAUGUGGCACCUUCGGGUGUGUUAUAGCCCUUUGUCGUAUGCGACGGUGGGGAUCGAGGACCGCAGCACGCCCUUCACGGGGCCGGGGUUCGCCCACGUAACGUGCUUAGGAUGCUGGCGUAAUGGCUUUAAGCGACCCGUCUU